GCCCUUAGAGUUUGAUCCUGGCUCAGAACGAACGCUGGCGGCAGGCCUAACACAUGCAAGUCGAGCGCGUCCUUCGGGGCGAGCGGCGGACGGGUGAGUAACGCGUGGGAACGUGCCCUUCGGUGCGGAAUAUACCAGGGAAACUUGGGGCAAUACCGCAUACGCCCUUCGGGGGAAAGAUUUAUUGCCGAGGGAUCGGCCCGCGUUGGAUUAGGUAGUUGGUGAGGUAACGGCUCACCAAGCCGACGAUCCAUAGCUGGUUUGAGAGGAUGAUCAGCCACACUGGGACUGAGACACGGCCCAGACUCCUACGGGAGGCAGCAGUGGGGAAUCUUGGACAAUGGGGGAAACCCUGAUCCAGCCAUGCCGCGUGAGCGAUGAAGGCCUUAGGGUUGUAAAGCUCUUUCGCCUGGGAAGAUAAUGACGGUACCAGGUAAAGAAGCCCCGGCUAACUCCGUGCCAGCAGCCGCGGUAAUACGGAGGGGGCUAGCGUUGUUCGGAAUUACUGGGCGUAAAGCGCGCGUAGGCGGACUGGAAAGUUGGGGGUGAAAUCCCGGGGCUCAACCCCGGAACUGCCUCCAAAACUGUCAGUCUUGAGGUCGAGAGAGGUGAGUGGAAU
rnacentral:rRNA from 1 species